AAAACAACUUCUAUGUGCAUGUGACCUUACUCAUUUUUUAGCUACAUUCUAACCUGUCAAGGGAACACAGAUUAUUUGCUUUCUUUGCUACAUCUAGAUUUGUUUAGAGUCAAGCAGUAGGAAUACGCAUUAUCUAUAGAUUUAAACCAAGGAAUUCUGUAAAGACUGUAGAAGUGAUUCUGAUAGAGAAGUGUAAUUACUCUAGUUCUAUGACAGAAUGGAUUAUGCCUCAUAGAAGUUAUUGGCAGUUUGUCUUAAUUUUCCUUUCCCUUUGCAGAACAAGAUUAAAGUCGUUGCAUUGAAAAUAACAAACAAUAUCAAUGUUUUAAUCAAGGAUCUCUUCCACAUUCCUCCUUCUUAUAAGAGCACAGUAACACUAUCCUGGAAACCUGUACAAAAGGUUGAGAUUGGGCAAAAGAGAGCCAGUGAAGAUACAACUUCAGGUUCACCACCCAAGAAAUCUUCAGCAGGACCAAAAAGAGAUGCCAGGCAGAUUUAUAACCCUCCCAGUGGGAAAUAUAGCAGCAAUUUGGGCAACUUUAAUUAUGGUGAGCGUUUCCGUUUGGGUACAAGGAAUAUGAGAGAUUAGGCAGAAAUUGUGUUAUAGUGUCAUGGUUCUAUCCAAUGACUUUUCUGAAUUAGCUUGGAGAACUAGGGCUGUUGAGGAAAUGAUUUAUCCCAUUCCUCUCUCAUUCACCCUUCUGGGCUGACUGUAUUGAGCAUGCAACAUUAAACAGUAAGCACUUAA
rnacentral:sRNA from 1 species